rnacentral:lncRNA from 1 species
GCUCGAGAGCUUUUAGAACUCCCCAAGCCCGGGAUGUAACCAGACCAAUUAAUUCAGAAUCCCUCCGGAGAGACUCAAGCAUCAGUAUUUUAAAAGUUCCCUGGGUGAUUACAGAGUUCAGCCUGGCCUGAGAGCUACGUUCCAGAUUAAGCACUGCCUGAGGAGGGCCUCUGUGGUGGCACACUCCUACCUACACCCUUGGGUAAUGCCCUCCCCUUGAGGGUGGCCUGAACCUGCAGAGCUGCUUCUAACGGAGAGAAUACAACAAAAGUGAGGAGACCUCCCUUCAGAGAUGAGGUUACAAAAGGCUGCAACUUCUGAGCUGCUCAGACUUUCUCUCUGGCUCUUCUUUCGCUCUGAGGAAGCCAGCUGCUGCGUUGUGAGAGCAGAGCAGAGAGGCCCCCUGGCAAGGAACAGAGGCUGCCCCCCUGCUGGUGGCCCUUCAGGGAUUUGUGAUGGUCAGUUGUAUGUGUCGGCCUGGCCAGACUAUUCAAUGAAACGCUCAUCCAGGUGUUACCGUGAAGGUAUUUUGAAGAUGGAAUGACCACAUCAAGUCAGUUGACUUUAUGCCAAGGAGAUAUUCCUGGAUAAUCUAGGUCAGAUUCAAUGAACUGAAAGCCUUAAAAACAGAGCUGAGGUUUCCCGGAGGAGAGGGAGUGUAGCAUCAACUCCAGCCGGAAAGAUUACACCUGCCUGACAGCCUGCCUUAUAGAUUUCAGGCUUACCUGGCCAGCCACCGCUGUUACCUGAGGCAAUUCCUUGCACUAUCUACACCUAGAGACAGAUGGAGAUGUGGAUGCUGAUUGAGUGGGGGUGCAGGUGCAGCACCCACAGCCACCCAUACCUGAGGAUUCAGGUGUAGAUGUGGCCACGGACAUGGACAAAGCUAUAUGCUACGGACUCUGUUUCCUGGUGGAGCCCAAGUUUAUACGGACCUGAAUCCAGUCAACAACCACUAAGUGAGCUUGGGCGUGGAUCCACCACAUGUCCAACCUUCAGAUGAGCUGCAAGCCACCAACUUGAUUGCCGGCGUAUGAGAGAUAUUCAGCUAAGCUAUAUCUGGAUUCUUAGAGAACCUAGGAGAUGAUAAAUGUUGUUGGGUUAAGCUGUUGUCAUGAUAAUUUGAUACCCAGCAACAGCUAACUAAUACAGCCAUCACUUCAGACUGUGCAGGAUGUGGCCUUCCCCAAGGCAGUUAGCUAAGAGGCCAGGAGGAAGGGACCUUUUUCUAUUUUAUGCAAAGGAAAUCCUGUGGGAUGGCAAUGGCCCUGAGUUGAGGAUAAGGAGAGGAUGGGUCUCUUCAUUUUACUAAUGAAAAAAUGAACUCCUGGGAGACUCAGUCUCAGGGAGAUUAAGCAUCUUACCCAGUGUCAAGAGCCAGGAUUAGGAACCAGGAAUCGAGUUCCAGUCUAGAUUUUUCUAGUAAGCUAUUCGCCACCUAGAUUCCUAGGUCUAUAUCCCUACGCUGCCCUGUGGCACUUGUGGUCCCCACUGUGGUGCUCUUGCCUUUUGACACAGCAGAAUGAACCUCAUCUUGUCCAUUUUCUGCUCCAGAUGAUGAGUCAGUCUUUUUUUUUUUUUUUUUUCUCAGAAUACUCUGAUUGCUUUCAUGAGAAAGUUGUAUUAGAAGCCACAAUCUGGGUGUCAUUGCUUCUUGGUCUUUCUGUUUUUGUUUUAUUUUGUUUUGUUCAAUGGCCGCACCCACGGCUCACAGAAGUUCUGGGUCAGGGAUUCAAUCCAAGCUGCAGCUGCAACCUCGGCCACAGCUACAGCAAUAAUGGAUCCUUAACCCACUUUGCUACAGCAGGAACUCUGCCUCUUGGUCUUUUUGAUGGACAGAGCUAGGAACUAUUUUUUAAGAGAAAAAAAAAAAGAUCAUAAGACUAUUCUGAUAUAUUUCAUUCAAAUUUCAUAUUAGAAGGUUUUUAUUUAACGUCUUUAAUUUUAUGCUUUCUCUUAUGCUAGAAAUCUUGGUUUCUAGUGACCGUCCAAUAAAUAUGUAUUUGCUUUACAUUAAUAACAAAUAAUGGUCUCAUAAUAACAAUAUUAAUAUUACUACUAAUAGUAAGAGUUUUGAAUGAAGAUUUAUUGGCUCUUCUUUUGAUCCUCAGAACAAUUUUUCCUAGAGCUGUAGACUCAAAAUAUUGUUUCCAGUUACACCAAGGAGGUUUUUUCUGUGUGGUUCUGCUACAACCGGAUAGAGACAGGGUUAAUUGCUCUCGGUUUUUAGGAAUUACUUUUUAUCUGACUUCUAUUUCAUUAGUUAAACUACACGACACAAGUGCAUGUUUCUGAACUGAGCAGGACCCUGUGAGGCCCUCCCAAAAUAGACCUCCCCCUACUCAAGUCCGCUGCCUGCCUUUUGUCUAUAGAAAAACUUUAGUCAAAGAAGCCCUAUAAUCAGAGAAGUGAGAAAAUACAGAGAAAAAGGAAAACAGUCCAGCAAGGCAAAAUAGGAAUAUAGCCAUUUAAAGAAGUCAAGGACCUUUUAGUUAGUUCUUCUUUAAGGACUAUAGAUAGGAGUUCCCGUCGCGGCACAGCAGAAACGAAACUGACUAGGAACCAUGAGGUGGCGGGUUGGAUCCCUGGCCUUGCUCAGUGGGUUAAGGAUCCAGCGUUGCUGUGGGCUGUGGUCUAGUUUGCAGAGGUGGCUCGGAUCUGACAUUGCUGUGACUCUGGCGCAAGCUGGCAGCUGCAGCUCCGAUUUGGACUCCUAGCCAGAGAACCUCCAUCUGCUGUGGGUGCGGCCCUAAAAGAACAAAAGCCAAANAAAAAAAAAAAAAAAAAAAAAAAAAA